rnacentral:rRNA from 1 species
GGGGCGUGGCGUACGUAGCACAUGUCAGUGGAGGGGUAGAAGAAGCUUGCUUUUUUGAGACCGGCGCACGGGUGAGUAACGCGUAUGCAACCUACCUUAUACAGGGGAAUAGCCCGAAGAAAUUCGGAUUAAUGCUCCAUGGUUUAUCGAUAUGGCAUCGUAUUGAUAAUAAAGAUUUAUCGGUAUAAGAUGGGCAUGCGUAUCAUUAGCUAGUUGGUGUGGUAACGGCAUACCAAGGCAACGAUGAUUAGGGGUCCUGAGAGGGAGAUCCCCCACACUGGUACUGAGACACGGACCAGACUCCUACGGGAGGCAGCAGUGAGGAAUAUUGGUCAAUGGAGGCAACUCUGAACCAGCCAUGCCGCGUGCAGGAUGACGGUCCUAUGGAUUGUAAACUGCUUUUGUACAGGAAGAAACCUCUCUACGUGUAGAGACUUGACGGUACUGUAAGAAUAAGGAUCGGCUAACUCCGUGCCAGCAGCCGCGGUAAUACGGAGGAUCCGAGCGUUAUCCGGAAUUAUUGGGUUUAAAGGGUUCGUAGGCGGCUUUGUAAGUCAGUGGUGAAAUUUUCUAGCUUAACUAGGACACGGCCAUUGAUACUGCAGAGCUUGAAUAAUAUGGAAGUAACUAGAAUAUGUAGUGUAGCGGUGAAAUGCUUAGAUAUUACAUGGAAUACCAAUUGCGAAGGCAGGUUACUACGUAUUUAUUGACGCUGAUGAACGAAAGCGUGGGGAGCGAACAGGAUUAGAUACCCUGGUAGUCCACGCCGUAAACGAUGGAUACUAGCUGUUCGGUCUUCGGACUGAGUGGCUAAGCGAAAGUGAUAAGUAUCCCACCUGGGGAGUACGUUCGCAAGAAUGAAACUCAAAGGAAUUGACGGGGGCCCGCACAAGCGGUGGAGCAUGUGGUUUAAUUCGAUGAUACGCGAGGAACCUUACCACGCUUAAAUGUACAUCGACAGAUUUGGAAACAGAUUUUUCUUCGGACAUUUACAACGUGCUGCAUAGCUGUCGUCAGCUCGUGCCGUGAAGC